rnacentral:rRNA from 1 species
UAUCAAUAAGCGGAGGAAAAGAAACCAACCGGGAUUGCCUCAGUAACGGCGAGUGAAGCGGCAAGAGCUCAAAUUUGAAAGCUGGCCCCUUCGGGGUCCGCGUUGUAAUUUGCAGAGGAUGCUUCGGGUGCGGCCCCUGUCUAAGUGCCCUGGAACGGGCCGUCAGAGAGGGUGAGAAUCCCGUCUUGGGCAGGGUGCCCGUGCCCGUGUGAAGCUCCUUCGACGAGUCGAGUUGUUUGGGAAUGCAGCUCUAAAUGGGUGGUAAAUUUCAUCUAAAGCUAAAUACCGGCCGGAGACCGAUAGCGCACAAGUAGAGUGAUCGAAAGAUGAAAAGCACUUUGAAAAGAGAGUUAAACAGCACGUGAAAUUGUUGAAAGGGAAGCGCUUGCGACCAGACUCGGCCCCGGGGUUCAGCCAGCACUCGUGCUGGUGUACUUCCCCGGGGGCGGGCCAGCGUCGGUUUGGGCGGCCGGUCAAAGGCCCCAGGAAUGUAUCGCCCUCCGGGGUUGUCUUAUAGCCUGGGGUGCAAUGCGGCCAGCCCGGACCGAGGAACGCGCUUCGGCACGGACGCUGGCGUAAUGGUCGCAAACGACCCGUCUUGAAACACGGACCAAGGAGUCUAACAUCUACGCGAGUGUUCGGGUGUCAAACCCGUACGCGCAGUGAAAGCGAACGGAGGUGGGAGCCCCCCCGGGGCGCACCAUCGACCGAUCCUGAUGUCUUCGGAUGGAUUUGAGUAAGAGCGUAGCUGUGGGGACCCGAAAGAUGGUGAACUAUGCCUGAAUAGGGCGAAGCCAGAGGAAACUCUGGUGGAGGCUCGCAGCGGUUCUGACGUGCAAAUCGAUCGUCAAAUUUGGGUAUAGGGGCGAAAGACUAAUCGAACCAUCUGGUAGCUGGUUCCUGCCGAAGUUUCCCUCAGGAUAGCAGUAACGCGGAUCAGUUUUAUGAGGUAAAGCGAAUGAUUAGAGGCAUUGGGGUUGAAACAACCUUAACCUAUUCUCAAACUUUAAAUAUGUAAGAAGCCCUUGUUGCUUAGUUGAACGUGGGCAUUAGAAUGGAGCGUUACUAGUGGGCCAUUUUUGGUAAGCAGAACUGGCGAUGCGGGAUGAACCGAACGCGAGGUUAAGGUGCCGGAAUACACGCUCAUCAGACACCACAAAAGGUGUUAGUUCAUCUAGACAGCCCGACGGUGGCCAUGGAAGUCGGAAUCCGCUAAGGAGUGUGUAACAACUCACGGGCCGAAUGAACUAGCCCUGAAAAUGGAUGGCGCUCAAGCGUGUUACCCAUACCUCGCCGUCGGGGUAGAAACGAUGCCCCGACGAGUAGGCAGGCGUGGGGGUCCGUGACGAAGCCUUGGGCGUGAGCCCGGGUCGAACGGCCCCUAGUGC